UUUAUGCCUCUCGAGCUCACGAAAAACAAGGAGAGCUACCAACGGAGACUUGGCGCAGUGGUGGCGGCGGCAAGUGAGGGAUCGAGGAAAUAACUGGAAGCAACGAGGGUUACAGAGACGGCAGGUGGAUCCGCGCACACUAUUCGAGGCCGUGCAAGAUGAAGCGGAGGGUCCUCGUCGCGCUCCUCGCCCUCGCCGUCGUUCUUCUCGUCUUCUCCGUCGUUCACAAGGAGGUAGGAUUGUUAUUGGACUCUAUGGAGAAGUGGCGCCAAAAACUGUUGGUAUGUUUAACUCCUAGUUUGUCAUAAUUCUUGGGCUUUUCACUUUAGACACAGCUGCCAUUCUUUUGAACUUCGGAAAAUUGUAUAUGGGACAUCGGUAUACUGUGGCUGAUAGUUUGCUUUAAGUGAUUGGUACAUGAACAUGUAUUUGUCUGCUCCCUAGAUGUUGUUUUGAGUCUUUUAGUAAGCUACAUAUGCAACCACUUAGCAUAUAUGCACCAGUUGGGUGGAAACAAGUGUACAGUACAAGAAUAGUGUGGAACUUUCAAGAGAUGCUGUGGGAAGGUUUUCAGAACUAUACCUUUCCAACUUUUUUAAUAUACGGAUUGGUUGAAAUUCCCAAAUUUUGGAUAUACCUUUUAAUGUUGAUUGUUACUGGAGGUGUUAUAAUUAUUUUUUUGAGUAUGGACUAUAAUGUUCUUAAUUACACACAAAAAGAGAACUUUGGAUAUGAACAUGUCCUCCAGUUAGGUAUUUUUACCAUAUCUUGUUCCCGAUAUGUCAGCUAACACAUUUCUUUUUUUCUCGUGGAUAGUGCAGAAAAUUUUAAAGCCCUCUGCACAGAGGUAUUUGCACUUGCAUCAGUAGCUAUUCCUGUGUUGUUAUUUGAUUUUGUUCAUCUUUUAUCAAACAUGUACAUUCUAACAAUUGUAUAGCACCUAUGAUUUGGUAGCAGGUAAAAAGGGCAACAGAAUUGGUGUAAGAAAUUAUCACUACAAGGGUACAAAAUUUCAUCGCGUAGUUUCCGGUUUUAUGAUACAAGGUGGCGAUAUCACUAACAGUAAUGGCAGGAGCAGUGAAUCUAUCAUGGUGGCACCUUUCCUGAUGAGAACUUCACCAUAAAGCAUUCACGUGCAGGCUUGGAUUUCCAUUUCAUAUGUUGUCCUAAGUUAUAUUUCUAAAUUCUAGUGACCUGGGGCUGGCAAUAAGUGAAAUUUAGGUUUUCCAUAUACAUGAUUGUAAUGUUCUUGAAGUUUCUAUUUAAUGCAAAAUUAACUGGACAAUACCCCUUGGAUUUUCCCUUACAAAAGCUAAUUGUUAAUAUGGGAAAGAAUCAAUGUAGACAACUUAUUGUUAGAAUACGUUCGGAAAAGAAGUUUGUUCUUGUACAAAACUUAUUGAUUCAUUUACACAGUUAACUACAGAGAUUAAUUCUCUAAUGGUACUGUUCGGCACAUGCAAGACAUCUUACUAGCUUGUUUUGCCCUUCCAGGAAUUGUUUCAAUGGUGAACAGGGGGCCUGAUACCAAUGGAUCCCCGUUCUUCAUCACCACAGUUAAGGCUAGCUGAUGGGGAGCAUGUUGCCUUUGGAAGGGUUAUUCAAGGUACGGAUACGUUCUUUGCAACUGAUGGAGGAGCAGGAACAUACAUACAAUGUGAAGCCGAGGAAGAAGGUUGUCAUCGUCGACACAGGAGAGAUACCAAAGCACCGAUGGGAUGAAGAAAUCAGCCGCUUUUGCUUCCUUGCCACCCCAUGCUGUUGCUGCAAGAGUAGUAGGAGUUAGUGGUUCUUGAGGGCUAAGGCUACACCACCACAUUGCUCGUGUAAACCUUGUUAAUGUGCCUUUGAAGUCAUCACUUACCCAAACGGGGUCUUAACCCUUUCGCUUCACUUGGUUGCCUAUAGAAAUUUGAGCUUCACAAAAACUUGAGCUUUCUCUGAUUGAUUGAACCAGAGAUUUACUGUUCUUAAUACAAAGCAGAUCGAUUGCACGUUUAUCACAA